AAGUCCUUAGGGUGCUGCUGGCU
rnacentral:rRNA from 4 species